GAGAAACAGAGUGGAGACAGUUGUGGGUGAGGAAACAUGGGGCAGAAAGAAUGACUGACAGAAGAUGAGAAAACUGAGUGACAUAGUGAGGAAUGAGAGAGAGGGGGAGAAAGAGGGAGAGGGAGUGAAUGAGUGCCAGUGAGAGAGGGACAUUAACAGAGAGAGUGAGAGAGACCAAGCAAGCAAGCAGAAUGAAUAGCAAACCAUGACCACUUCAACAUGAACUGUUAUGGUUGCACAUCGAUGUUCCUUAAAGGAAAUGUUGCAGACGGAAAUCUCUCUUCUCCAUCCAUUAAUUAAAAUUGUUUGCUCUCAUUUUACCACUUUUGGCUCUAAAUGUCCUCAGAAGCUGGACAAUUCAACCACAACAAGACGAACCUGUAUUCUCUAAUACUUUAAUUCUGUCUCAAGAUUCUGAAGACUCAAGAUUCUGAAGACUCAAGAUUCUGAAGACAGCUAUUCGGAUAACUACUACUUUGAUCUGCCUGAAUCUACAGCUGUCCUGGAUCGGCCUGCAGUCAUUAUAGACCAGUGUUAACUGGACCUGUCCUGGAUCGUUCUGUAGUCAUUGUAGAUCAGUGUUAACUAGACCUGUCCUGGAUCAGCCUGUAGUCAUUAAAUACCAAUGUUAACUUGACCUGUUCUGGAUCGGCCUGUAGUCAUUAUAGAUCAGUGUUAACUGGACCUGUCCUGGAUCUGCCUGUAGUCAUCAUAGAGCAGUGUUAACUGUACCUGUCCUGGAUUGGCCUGUAGUCAUUAUAGAGCAGUGAUAACUGCAGCUGUUCAGUGUACUGGACUUGUUCAGGAUCAGCCUGUAGUCAUUAUAGACAAGUGAUAACUGCAGCUGUUCACUGGGAUCUGGCCUCAUUCAUCUGUGAGUCGCAGACAGUCCGGCAAGGAGAUGCAGAAGAACAAUAAGAAGAACCGAGUCCAGAACAUGGGCCAGCAGCAGAGAGCUCUAGCCUGCACGUCCUUGACCAAACCAAGCAACAAACAGCUGCAAGCCGAGGAGCAGUCCCCAUAGGCUCCAACUUGUCAUCACUCUUUUAUUGUAAGUCCGACACACAGUAAGUCUCUAAUGUUGCCCCAUCCAACAGCUUAAAUCAAUAAAUGCUUAGUGCACAGUCAGAUGCGCAUCACAUCACAGUAAAUAAGACCACUGAUGCUAACCCAGUCAGUCGGUGAUGAAAGAAUGGGGGGUAAAAAAAUAAACAGACUGGCAGGUAAACAGUUUAGUACGGUGACCACAUUUAAAAUAUCCAAAUGUGGGACAACAGGAUGAUUUUGCUGGUCAUUCACAGUUUUGGUCGCAUGAAUUUGUUUCUUUUUUUGACUAUUCAGCAAACAAUACUAAAAUCUCAUAAGACAUUAGGUAGUGUGCUUGGUGUGACUAUUAUAUUUGUUUGUGUUAUGUAAAAUAUUAUUAAUCAUUUUGUGAUCUUCCAAGACAUUGAUUCAGCUUUGAUUCAACUUGACUAAUUCAGCACCAUUGUGAGACGUGGUGGAGCAACACUCUGGUGUACUCAGGCAGCAUUACAGCCCUGCACCGAACGAGCUAAUUGAAGUGCAG
rnacentral:lncRNA from 1 species